rnacentral:lncRNA from 1 species
CCACCGUCGUGGCUUUUUUUUUUUUUUUUUAUGGCGUGGGUUUUCCGACCGAGACCAAUCUCCGAGAAAGAAAAAAAAUCUGCAAAACAAUGACACACAAGAUGGAAAAUGAGGAAAAUGAAAAGAAAAAAAGGUGGCAGAUACAUGAGACAAUAAUAUUCUAUUUCCUUUGCUCGCCCCAAGCAAGCUCAUUUGCCUUUUUCCAGGGGUUUUACUUUCACCAACUCACUGAGUCACUCUGACUCGCCGCGUUCUCUACGCCUUCCACAACCGAUCACCACCUUCUCUGCCUCCGCCUCCUCAGGUACAAAGGAAAUGACUUUCUCUUUCCAAUGGCUUUUCUUUUCUUAAAGUCUUUUGCUUGAUGGAUGGGGACCACUCUUAGCUUGUUUACUGAGUUUCUGUUCAUGGGAAUUUUUGGGUUUAUGAGCUCCAAGGCAAAGGGAUCAUUUCUGCAUUGAAUCUGCCAUUUGUGAGAGUCUUGUUUUUAUAUUUUGGGUAUGGUGGGGUGGGGGGGUUGACCUAGCUUUCCAAGGUCAGACAUUAGGAAUUUUUUAAUUAUGCAGAUGCUUUAUUUAUUAUUAUUAUUUUAAUAAAAAAAGAUGGAUUCUUUUAAUUUUAUUCCCAUUUUUACAUGAUGGGUUGAUUUUGGUUUGCUUAUAUCCAACUUCAAAAUGACCGAAAUUUAUUGUCACCGUGUACAUGAUGGGUUACAACCCAUUUGGGGCCAAUUUUAGAUUUUAUAACCAUCAAGUCAUUGUUUCUCUAGUCACUUUAAUCAAAGCCACAAAAGGGUUUCAAGUAUUUUCCCUUAUUUUUAAAUAAUGUCUUUCUCUUGUGUGAAAGUUCUGAGUCACUUAACUACAUGUAUUUGCAUCCUAGCUUCUCACAAUACAUACUUCAAUUUCCAGUUCCUUAUAGAUUUUUUUAAAGAUUACUUUUGGUGUUACCAAUUGAAAAGUUGAAUUACGCUUUUAGAUAAUGUAGCUAGUUAGUAGCUUUUUGAGAUUACUACUUUCAUCUGAUGAGCAUUUAACCUUCAGAAUAAUACUUAUGAAAUUAGUCGCUGAAUGGUAAACACAACCUCUUCCUCUGAAAUUCAUUUCCUUUAAUGCUCUUUCUAUAGGCACAUGCAUUCUGUUUUUGUCAUAUUUAUAUCUCUAAUGUUUGUAGAUUAUGUUACUUUAAAUUGUUCUGAAAAACUUGUGUUGUCCUUCAGUGACCUUUUUCUACUUGAAACUCAAAUCUGUAUAUAUUCCAUCGGUAUAAUUAAUUAGUCUGCUUGUUUAUACAAGGAAUAACGUGAUUCAUGAGGAAGGCCACCAAAUGAGCUCUUUGCACUCAUAUAUUGAAUCAGCCAUGGUGAGCUUAAGAAGAAACAAACGCAUGAGACUAUGCACCGGUAAAAGUGGUCGAAAUGUGCUAUAUCACAUAUGAAUAAGUUUGGGCCUAUUCGUACUAGUUUUAAUCUGUAUAAAUCACCUCUCAAUAGGUCUUAAUCACUGACAGGAGUAAUCUGAUGCUUAAUACAUUAGGUUCUUGUUUAUGCUUUAAGCUGUGUAACUUAGUGUUUAGCAUGCUUAUCCAUAUGAGUUUUCUGCUGUGUAACUCACCUGUCGGUGGUUGAGAUAAAUUUUCAAUUUUUGUGAAUAAGAAUCUGGUUGAAUAGGUUCUUUUUUAUUCUUAAGUAUAUUCGCCAAAUUGUACGUCUUUGCAGAGAGUUGUUCUGUUCUAGCUCCAUUGCCAAGGGUUUGUGACAGGGGAACUGCUCCUCAAAAUUCUACCCAAACAAAACCAGAUAGUGUGCAUUCAAUGCCUUCAAAUGAUGUGAAUCUGCCGGAGGGGGUAAGAAUGGAUUACCAAUCAGUCCAUGUUAUUGUUUCACAUGCAUCAGAUGGACCAUUCUUUUCCUUAAAGGUUUUGUCUACUUGUUAAAGACACUUGUCAGGGCUCCUGAAGUUAAAGAAAAUCUAAGACUCUAUUUUGGAAGAACCAACUUGUUUUCUCUGGCUAGUUUAGUUUGUGUGAAGUACUCAGAUAUGAUCAAAACACAAUGUAUUGAUGUGUAAAAUAAUUACUAAGAGGUUUAUAUGCCAAAAUAUAUUAUUUCCAGAAUGCGACUCAUACAAGGGCUUCCUCUGAGAUUAUCAGUGUGUUGAGAGAGCCAGCUGCAGCAGAGAGAGUUUUGCUGGGCUUACUUGGCCCUGAUGAUACCAAGAUUAUGCAGGAGUACGAUGAUGACGGUGGUUUGAGGCAAAACUUAUCCCACCAUGCCCUUGCUGUAAGUGAUUGUCCUCAAGAUUUCAUUGCCUUACCAUUUCUGUGUUGAUCUGAAUAAUUUAAUUUUGCUACUAUGUCGAUUAUUUCAGGCCUGCCUCCACUUUGCCAUGUGGCUAAGGGAACAUGGAGAGUCUUCCUUAGCCUCCAGGGAGCGCGAUGAAGCCAGAGCUCGUGUUGCAGAGCUGGAGGAAAAUGUUAGGAAUGUUGAGGAGAUUCUGAGGCAUCAGGUCCAAGAGUAUGAGUUUAAGCUGAAUGGUCUGCAAAAUGAUGUUGAUCAGCUGAGUCAGAAGGCUGAGUUGUACGAGAGGAAUUGGAAGGAGCAGGAAGCCUUGCAUCAGGAGAAGGACACUCUUAUGGUAGAGGUUUUGAGGCUGCGUGAGGAAGCUAUCUCUGAGCUUGCCAAGGUCACUCAAAGUCAUGACGUGGCCAGAACACGUAUCAAAAAGCUGACUGGUGCCCUCACUCGGAGCAGGAAGCUCUACGAGCAGGCUGAGGUUGAAGUGAAGAAGGUUCAGCAGGACUGCGAAAUGGAUAGGAUCCUUGGGGAAAUAGAGAAGGAAGAGCGUGCGAAGAAAGAGGCCAAAGACGUUGAUGGAGAAGUGGGGGCCCAGCUUCCUUCAACUUUCUGGACAAAGUGCUAUAGAUGCAAUGUGCAUUUUCAGUAUAGUAGGGUUUAUGUAGAUCGUCUUCUCCGCUGCCAACAAUGUCAAACCAACUUUGUGUCUAAAGAAGUCUACAUCCUGUCACCAUCUGCACUUGUUGAGUCAUCCAGUAACUCUUCUCACCAGCAACAUGUUGAUACUGAAAGUCAAGGAACUGCUAGUGGAGGCAAGCCCCCAUAUCUUGGAGUGGUCUCCAUAAAAGACCCCGAAGGAAGCUGAAGACCCGGACGGGAUGGAUGGAGAGGGAUCCGUCGAUGCAAUGCAGGAUGAAGAGAGGGGGGGUUGUUAAGAAAAUACAUAUUUUGUAAACUUUUUGUUUUCUUGGCCUAUCUAACUAACGGUAACCCUCUCCUACCAAAAACCCAUUUUGUAUGGUCAACUAGCAGCCCUUUUUUAUUACACUAAUCAAC